GAUGAACGCUGGCGGUGUGCCUAAUACAUGCAAGUCGAACGCGUUGGCCCAAUUGAUUGAUGGUGCUUGCACCUGAUUGAUUUUGGUCGCCAACGAGUGGCGGACGGGUGAGUAACACGUAGGUAACCUGCCCAGAAGCGGGGGACAACAUUUGGAAACAGAUGCUAAUACCGCAUAACAGCGUUGUUCGCAUGAACAACGCUUAAAAGAUGGCUUCUCGCUAUCACCUCUGGAUGGACCUGCGGUGCAUUAGCUUGUUGGUGGGGUAAUGGCCUACCAAGGCGAUGAUGCAUAGCCGAGUUGAGAGACUGAUCGGCCACAAUGGGACUGAGACACGGCCCAUACUCCUACGGGAGGCAGCAGUAGGGAAUCUUCCACAAUGGGCGCAAGCCUGAUGGAGCAACACCGCGUGAGUGAAGAAGGGUUUCGGCUCGUAAAGCUCUGUUGUUAAAGAAGAACACGUAUGAGAGUAACUGUUCAUACGUUGACGGUAUUUAACCAGGAAGUCACGGCUA
rnacentral:rRNA from 1 species